UUAAGUAUUUCAAUGUCAAUUGAAUUUGCCAAUAAAUGACCGUAGUGACAUUAUAAUAACAACUCAAAAGCCUCAAGAGUCAGAGAAAGAGAAUUGGACUACCACUAACUUGAAAUCAGAAGAGAUUAGAAUCUGAAACAUGCAAGAUUGAGAAAAUAAAGAUGGGAUUUGAUUUACACUUUUAAGGACUAGAAGUUGAAUGCCUUGUGGUAAGUAACGUAGGCUCUAGCAACUUGGGACAUUCGAUAGUACUAUCUGGGAUUUACACAAUGGGAAACCUCUAACGAACACGUGCUCGCAGUUGCGUUUUCAAACAAUUAAGCUGGAAAUUCAAGUUCAAUUGCAGGCCCGCGAAAUUGAAGCAAUUCCACCACGUUGAGGUGCCGAAGAGGAUAUUGAGGUAUCAGUUGUAUAUAUUUCUCCUGGCUCUUCAAAGAUAUCGCAUAAAAACUGCAAUAAUGAAGAGCCAUGUACAAUAACACGUUGAAACUGUACAGCACAAAAAUCACCAACAACAAUGCAAAAAUACAAGAAAUAUCCAAGAGAGCAAACGCAGACUUCCUCUAUAAAUUAAUCAGUAGUAAGUAAAAUAAAAAUGCAUAUUCCAAAGCAGAGAAGAUACAUAAUAAUAGCAUAUGAUCAAAGAUGUUGCAAAAGAAAUUAAAAUACUAGCCACGUGAAUGACCAAAAGAUGGAAAAACUUUAUUUUGCAUCAUCAUCAUCACAAUACAGAAGUCCUUCUAGACUCAUAAAACUACACGAAACCUAACCACUCUUGGAAUGUUUGGCAAUUAACUACCUACAGUUGCUACAAUGCUAACACUCAUAAAAUAUUCAUUGUGAAUCAACGUAGAAAAUUUAGAAUAUGUACUGAACUGUCUUAUAAAACAACCCAAAAUGCAACUUUCUCCAAAUUCAUUUUCAUUGCAACUUUUUUAUUGUUUUUAAAAUAUAAAAUUCAGUUGGGAAAAAAAUGAUUAUUCGGCGUAUAAUGCAACCCUAUUAUAGGUUUGAAAAAUUAGAUAGAGUUUAAUCAUAAUAAUAACCAAAAAUAUAAAGCACAAAAAAUCAGAAUAUCAGAAUAUAAAAACGAACAAACUAGCCUCCAAGGAGACUAUACCAUACAUGUCACUCUACUAAUCCAACACAUAUACAUACAUACAUACAUACAUACAUAACUUUACGUUUUAGUAAUCUUACGAAUUAUUAAAAAAAAUUUCAUUAGCAUGAUGGCACCCUUUUUUUUUUAGUUGUUAUUUCCGUGACCACUUAUUUUAAUGAAGUUUUCUACCACUUACGUGUUGAAAAGUCAAGCAUGCAAUUGUUGAGCUAGUAUGUAGAUUUUGACUACAAUUGCAUGACAAAGUUGACACCGAUUGCCAAAUUUGUCAAUUUGACAAAUUGAAGCCAAAUUGAAUGUUGUGAUAAGUAAACAUUCAUUGCCUAUAAAUAGAAAGGAGAGAAAGAGAUUUCAUCCAUCCCAAUUAAGAGAAUUGAGAGCAAUUGAAAGUGAAGCAAUUUGAGAGAUUUAAGAGAGCUUCCACUUAAGUGUUCUAAUGAUGAUUCAGUUAGGUAUAAUGGGGUUAUAGCUUUUAAGAGCUUUUCUCACUUUUAUAAAUUCCCAUUAUUAAUAAAAUUUUAAGUCUUUGCAUAUGGACGUAGGCUUUAUGUCGAACCACGUAAAAUUAUUGUGUCAUAUUUUCUUUGUAUUUAAUUGCGCCACAUUUAUAUUUCUCUAGAAGUCGCAGUAAUUGUUCAGCUUAUGCUUUUGCAAUAAUUGGUAUCAGAGCCGGAAGUUCGUGCUUAGGGUAUACGGCACUGUUCACGUAUAUAACAUUGUUCACGUAUACGAUACUAUUCACAUAUACGAUAUUGUUCAUUGAUACAGUGGAGUCGGCAAUUUAUACAUGGGAGACAAUCUAUUGUAAGUAGUAUGUAUUUUUGCAAGUCUAGAAAAGUUUUAUCAACAAAGCAAUAAAAGCCUAAGAAGAGUUUUAAGUGGGACCGUUGCGACCCCUCAAUUUUCUUGGGAAUUUUCCUGAUGCAUUUAUUCACGUGAAAUUAACAUCACAGAUGUUGUUUUUCAAGUGUAAAUAGUUGUUAAAGGCACUGAUCAAUUGAGUUAAGAAAAAUAGCAGAGGCAUCGUCGUCGUCUUUAUCAACAAGGACUAUUGUGACUAAUGAAAAAUUUAAAGUGGAGAAAUUUAAUAGUACCAAUAAUUUUAGUAUGUGCCAAUGUGAGGUGUUGGAUGUCUUAUGUCAGCAAGAGUUAGAGCUCGCUCUUGAAGAAAAACCUAACAAGAUAGAUGACAAAGAGUGGAUAAAAAUCAAUAGAUAAGCAUGUGGUACUAUUCGCUUAUGUCUGGCUAAAAAUCAAAAGUACUCUGUCUGGCUAAACAUAUAAAAUAAUUUUUCUUUAGGACACAAUACUUUUACGUGGUUCGGCGUAAAACCUAUGUACACGGGCAAAAACUAAAAGAUAAUUGUACUAAUACUGAGAAUUUGCAAAAGUGUAAAAAACUCUAAAAACCCACAAUCUCAAUACACCCAAUUGAAUCCUCACUAGAACACUCAAGUAGAAGCUCUCUCAAAUCUCUCAAAUUACUUCACUUGCAAUUGCUCUCAAUUCUUUCAAUUGAGAUGGAUAGAAACUUUUCUUCUCUUCUCUAUUUAUAGGCAAACAAUGCUUACCUACCACAACAUUUAAUUUAGCUUCAAUUUGCCAAAUUGAAAAAUUUGACAAUCGGUGCCAACUUUAUCACGCAUUUGUAGUCAAAAUCUACAUGCUAGCUCAACAAAUAACCCACUUGAACAAUACCAAACCCACCAAUGGAUACGUCAACAAGUUAGGGAACAUCUUCGACUAGCAACUUGAUUUUUUGUCCAAAAUACUUAAAGAAAACGAGUCUUGGGGCAAAAAUUUCGAGUUCUUUCAUAUUCCAACAAUAACUGAUGGUUAGGUAAUUCAAUUGGACUGAAUGUCAAAAAAUUGGCUAUUAAAUUAUUAUUAUUUUUGUCUCACCGCCAUUAUCUUCUUUCUUCUCUUUCCUUCUUCAAACUUGUGUUGCUGCCAAAUUCAAUUUUUCUUCUUCUUUCUUUUUGACUAUGGAAUUCGAAUCAAUCAAAUCUCCAAGUGGGAGAAUGUAAAAAAUGUGGGCUUUACUCUUUCUAGAAGAGGUGGAAUUUUAGAAGAGGUGAAAUUUCACAGUAAAAAAGAAAGAAGAAGAAAAAUUGAACUUGACAGCAGCACAAGUUUGAAGAAAGAAAGAGAAGAAAGAAGAUAAUGGCGGUGAGAUAAAAAUAAUAAUAAUUUAAUAGCCAAUUUUUUGGCUAUAAAAAGGCGAGUUCCCCAUUUCAUUUGUGCAUCCAAUUUUGGUGAGAGAAUAAAAGUAGAGAACUUGAGUGAUUUUAAGAGCUUAAAAUUAUAAAGCUCUUGUGAGUCUGGUGAGUGAGAGAUUAUGUGUAUUGAGAUUAUGGGAAAUGAGUCAAAAUAUUACAAUACUUGUAAUUCUCAUGUCACUAGUAUAAUAUUUUUCUUUUGUUUUCGCCCGUGGAUGUAGGCUAAAAACCGAACCACAUAAUUUUCCAGUGUCCUCUUUUGUGUUUGUUCUUAAUUUUCUUCCAAUUUCAUUUUAGCUGCGACCCUACUUCACCCACUAAUUUCCUAACCCUACUUCACCCACCAAUUUCCUAACACUGAAGACCCAACAACCUUUAAAUUUAAUAGAUCUAAAGAUUCGCACACAUCCAAUUGAUCAAGAAGUGGACAAUUGUGUAUGAAAAACUCAAGAAUCUCCCUGUUAACACACGAACCAUCAAAAGAGAGAGAUCUUGAGACUUCAUACCAGACAGACAAGAUGGGUUUUUUAGGAUCUCAUAACACCCUUGUGGAGAUAUGCAAGCAGAUUGACAAGAGAAGAUCAAUUCAAGCUUUUGAACUCUCUUGGUUAACGCUGUGCAAAUCCAAUUUGUAAGGCUACCCCCAUGAGAAUCACCCAAAUCAAAACCAAAAUUUAUUGUAAAUGCUUUUAUGCUUAAAGCUCUAUGCGUUUCUGAGAGUUUAUUCACCCAAUUAACGUACUUGCAAGUUUUUUUCUCUACCGGCCACUACUGGAUUAAAAGAUUUUGAGUAGACAAUUGGGUUCCAGCUUGAAGCUUGAAAGAUCAAAGAAGUGGUGAAACUCUAUAAAUAUCUCCAUCUACGAGAAAGAGCGCUACUCCUCACAGCGUCCUUAAGAUUUAAGCGAGGAAUAAUAUUAAUAAGAAUAUCAUCCCAGAGAAGACUCACCCGAUCCUCCUCCAAAACAUUCAUCGUGCGGUGCAGAUCGGUUAUUAAAAAAAAAAAAUACAAAUGAAAAUCAUCAACAUUCAUUAUAAUGUUUCAAAGUUAAUUAACAACUAUCCGUGAUAAAUAAAAAAAUUAUAAAAAAUGCGGAAAGCAAGAAUAAUAAUAAUAUUCAAGAAAAUUAUGUAAUACCUAAUCUGCAGGUAGGCAUCUAGAGUAGAAGUCUGCUGUGCUAUCUUCUUACUGAUUUACUCUGAAAAAGUCUCCUAACUUUGCCCUAAAUACGACCCAACAAUUUUGCAAGCAAGUUCAAAGCGUAACGUUUUGCUAUAAAACAUUUUAUUUGGGAGAAUGGUCUAAUUUGUUUAUUUUUACCAUUUUGGUCCUUCAUAUUUUUAUAGUUGCACAUUGCAUCCUAAUCUUAUAAUUUUCUUCUUCUAAAUUUACCGCUGAAUGAUUAAUGGGAAUCUUAACAUACAAAAUUCUUCUUUAUCUUUUGACAAAUAUAUCAUAUUAGAUUAAUGAGUACUUUUCCAAUCAGAAUUCUCAUAAUUUAUUAGAAUACAAGAACAAAUUUUACAAUAUUGUAAAUUCGUUUCCAGGAACCCUCAUAGAAGAUUUCUAUAGGUUAACA
rnacentral:lncRNA from 1 species